CUGAACCUAAGCCUCGUGAAAUUUGGCAGACCUUAUAUAGGCCCCUCAAUGGUUGAGAUGACUUCAUGUAAAUCAAAGCUCCUCCAGAUUUCGACACGUAACGUCAUCUGUAUCACACAGUAUUUGGAUUUCUCGAUGAACCGACUGCCAGAUCGUGACACGAAGGCACAAUCUGUGUGAAUCACCAGGAGCCAACAACUGUCUGAUGCGUGGC
rnacentral:lncRNA from 1 species